GACACUUUUGUAAGUCAGUGUCUGAGUGAGUAGGUUUUUUCCACUUUCGUAAAGUGGAGCAUGUGAAUGUAUUUUUGUAUAUUAGCUGGUUUUUGUUGCUUGAGAUUUUGUUCAGCUUUCUUUGAAGUGUGUUCCCUUGAGCUGAUGUUAACAGUUUCCAGAUUGGGAAAAUAAUUCUGCAGUAAAAUAAAGUUAAAUAAGUUUCUUUGCUGCAGGACUUCUCAGAGCCUUUGAUACACUAUCGUGCUUUGUAUUUAAAUGCUGAUCUAGUAAGGACAGGAGCUUAAAAACAUAUUUGAGAGUUCCCAUUGUGGCUCAGUGGGUUUAGAACCUGCCUAAUAUCUGUGAGAAUGCUGGUUCAAUCCCUGACUUUGCUCAGUGGAUUAAAGGAUCUGGCGUUGCUGCGAGCUGUAGUGUAGGUCGCAGAUGCAGCAUGGAUCUGGCGUUGCUGUGGCUAUGAUGUAGGCCGGGGACUGCAGCUUCAUUUCGAUCCCUAGCCUGGGAACUUCCAGAUGUUGUAGGUGUGGCCCUAAAAAAAAGAAAAAACAAAAACAAGAACAAAAACAUGUUUGAUGAUAGACCAUGUAGUAUAUCUCACAGCGAUACUCCUCCCCUGAAUUCUCUUUGGAAAAGGCAUCGUUAAUGUAUUUUCCAUUGUUCAUAUUGACUUCUUUUACCUAUAUUUCAGGAAUGCAGUGGAAUCUUCUAAACUUUAAGAUAUGUCCAUUUAUCCUGAGGGAGGAUGUGAACCAUUAAGGGCAAACUUAUUUUCAUUUCACUUUAGAUUGAGAAUAUAUAGGCCAAAUGUGUGUGUGUGAGAGAGAGAAGGAAGGCAGAAAACUUUUCUGUUUUAAAGUUAUGAGGAAGAUAAUUUUCAUUAGCAUUUUAUGCACAAAAUCUUUCUCUGCCUGGAGACAUUUAUAAAAAGAUAACUUAAGUUUGGGCCCUUUUGUUACCCUCCUACUUUCAUAGACUAUAAUUCUAACGGCAAUGAACAUCCUUCACAAGCUGAGACCUUAUUCUUCUCGUCAAUGUACAUACUUCUUCUCUGUCUCCCUUUCUCUCUCCUUCCGGAACUCUCUUCCUUUUUGGUAAAGGAGAAGUGCGGGUGAAGAUCUCAGAUCUUCAGGGACACCUGUUUGUCUUUUUUUAAGACAUGUUUUAAGACAGGUACAGGGCCUGCUGAUUCAGGCACAUUAGAUAGAUUUUAUUUGGGGCCUUGUCAGUGUAGGUUUUCUUCUGUUGGUUACUGUUCUAUGUUCUCUUGGCCUUGAACAUAUAAAAGACAGAGACUGAAAUACAAACUCUCUCAUUUUACCUUUUCAACCAAAAUUUCAACUAAAUUUUACCUUUUCAACCAAAAGUUCAACUAAAACAAAAAAAUAACUGAAAAUUACAUAAUUCUUGUCUAAAAUAUUUCCUAGUCUGAUAAAAAGAACUUUUCAGCUCUACCUGCUGCUCAGAUUUUCCUAGGACCCAUAAGUAUUUUAAUAUAAGUGAAUUUUCUGGAUAAUUGGCACCUCUUCCUUUAAAUACUAGACCUUAACCAUUUUGCUCUAUUUUUCUUUCUUUUUUUUUUUUUUUUUUUUUUUUUUUUUUUUUUUUGGCCAUGCCCUCAGCCUGUGAAAGUUCCUAAGCCAAGGAUCGAACUUGUACCGCUACAGUAACCAGAGCCACCGCGAUGGAAAUGAUGGAUCCUUAACCCACUGAGCCACCAGGGGCGUCCUCUGUCUUAAGCAGAGGCCUGGGCCAGGGGCAGUGGGCAGGGAUACUGGAUGUGAUCCUGAGAAUCUAUUAUUGUCCAUGUGGUGAAGGGAACCUGGGUUGCUCUCAGCUUCCUCUUAUCAUAGUGUUGGGCUGUGAGGAGACCCACCUUGCUGUCACCUGCUUUCUUAGCCUUGCUUGUUGGCUGUCCUGUCUGUGCUGGAAAACUGCAUAAUGGAACAGUUCAAAUGGGAGUUAGGACAGCAGCCCCAGAAUGAAUGCGUUAGGAGUGAAGACCUGGCUGACCCCUUGGGGUUGUUGAACAUCUCCUCCUGGAUACAGGAGGUUCCUGGGGCAAAGAAAUGCCUGCUCUUCUCAGUGCUGUGCAAAACCUAGACAAGCCCUUUGGAAGUUUCCAGUCUACCUGUUUGUUCCCCAGAACUGAAUAUGAAUCCACCUUGGCUUGGACACUAAGAUAACUUUUGCAAUUCUCUAAUAGCCUUAUCUCAGCAUUAGCUAUUCCUCAUCAGCACCAGAUAGGCUUUGUUAUCAGUACUUGUUGAGCUGGGUCCCUGUGUUCUCUUGUUACAUGCUGUGAUGUGGUGUGAUGUUACGUGAUGCUGUCUUAUGCUCUUCCCUCUCCAUUUGUAUGUAUUUGAGAUUUCCCCUAAUAAAGCGUUCAUAAAAACGCAGCGCUGCAUAGCUAUUCGAUUGGUCUUCAGACAGCCCUGAAAGAGUCACGCAGGGGAAUACUUGCCAUUGUCUCAAAUGGUGCUGGCAACCUGGUGAUGUGAGCCAAGGACUUGAGGUAUCCGUUUGUUCACUUAACAGAUAUUUAUUCAUCUGUUUAGUGCCUGGCAGUGUUCUGGGCCCUGGGAACGUAACAGGGUACAAGAUAAGAGGGCAGCCCCUGUUUCCAAGGAUCUUAUAAUGCUAGAUCCAGGGCAGAAGUCUGUAGAUAAGUAAGCAGACAGAUAAAGGAGAUGGUUUAAAGUGGUGAAAGGUUGAUCUCCUGUCACUUAGGUGUCCUCCCAGGGUGUGGCUUCCUGUCGUCUUUCAUGGCUCCCUCUCAGGAGUGCUGGUCCUGUCCUGAUUUCUUUUUUUCCUCUUCUUUUCUCUUUCUCUCUCUUUUUUCCCUUUUGUUCUGUCCAGUUGUGUGGAGGGUUUCUUGCCCUUUUUGGAAGUUUAAGGUCUCGUGCCAGCGUUCAGUAGAUGUUCUGUGCCAAUCGUUCUACGUGUACGUGGGAUUUUUUGGAUGUGUUUGUGGAAGAAGGUGAGCUCCACGUCUCACUCCUCCACCAUUCCUGAUCCUCCUCUAAAAUACGGCACAGAGGAACCAUCUACAGAACAGAAGCAGACAGGCCCAGACUUGGAGAGCAGACUUGUGGUUGCCAAGGGGGAGGGAGGGGGAAUGGGAUGGACUGGGAGUUUGGUGUUAGUAGAUGCAAACUACUAACAUUUAGAAUGGAUAAGCAAUGAGGUCCUAUGGAUUAACCCAGGGAACUAUAUCCAACGUUUGUGAUAGAAUAUGAUGGAAGAUAAUAUAUUAGAAAAAGAAUGUGUAUCUAUGUAUAACUGUGUCACUUUGUCAUACAGCAGAAAUUGACAGAAUAUUAUAAAUCAACUAUAAUAAAUUUAAAAAAAAUGGUGAAAGGUGCUGAGGAAAAUAGCACCAAGUGAUAUGAGACGGUAGGUGAGGUGGUACAGGCACCAAUUGCAGCAGGCUUCCCCAGGUGAGCAGGCCGUCCCCAGGGAGGGCCUCGCAGACAGACGGAGCUUCUGCGCAGAUGCCCUGGGAUGCAAACACUAUCUUCUCUGAGUGGUGCCCCAGAGAACGCACAGUGCAGCCAGUUCAUCUGACACACACGGCCCCUCCCACCCAGACCUGGACAUUAGCCUCCCUCCUCACUACCUGCCACUUUAAGAGCUAGUGAGUAAUCCAGUAAACAAGCCACUAUAGUAUCCUCACUAAGUGGGCUUUCAAAUUCGUGGUUAACCAAAUAAAGCAGUCGAUUUUCUGCAGUGGUAAAAUAAACGUACCCAGUGUAAAAACAGGCCGCCUUUCAAGUAUGACCAUCAUAAACAGCCUUGUGGGACAUCUGCGUUCUUUCAGGACCUGGUUCUGAGGUUGUUGUUUAUGCAUGGGUUUGUUUCUUGAGUAAAUAUGUGUUCUGUCCUGCAUAGCAAGCACUAUGCAGACUAGACAGGAAUGAGCCAGGACAAGUGUGGCCCAGCCUCUGCUUGGGGGACCCUGAGUGGGAAGUGACAGGUGUCUGUGUCCAGGCCAUGCACUUACCAUGUGCCAGGUGGGGUAGGUGGUAGUGAGCAAAACAGACCCAGGCUCAGCCCUGGUGUAGCUUAGCGUGAAGUGGACAAGAUGGACAGUAAAACUGGGGCACUGACAAAGUCGGAAGGGUGCCAUCUGGAAGACGAAUGGUGAAAAACAGGGGAGAUCAGGGAAGGCCUCUCGGGGGAGGUGAUGUUCUCGCUGACUGUGAGAAGAAACCAGCAAGGAGGACAUUCUUGGCAGAGAGAGCACCAUGGGUGAUGGCUCUGAGUCAGAGAAGAGUUUAGAGUUCAUGGUGGGUAGAGAGGAUGAGAUGGAAGGUGGGAAAGGUGAACAGAGGCCAAAUCCUGCAGAUGACAGUAAGGAAUUAGUUGAUGUUCCAAGCACAACAGGGAGUUAUUAUAGAAUGUUAAGCCAGGAGGAUGAUAGCACAUUUAUUUUCAAAAGAUCAUUCUGGGAGCUCCUGCUGUGGUGCCGUGUGUUAAGAAUCUGACUGCAUUGGCUCAGGUUGCUGCAGAGGUGUGGGUUUGAUCCCCAGCCCAGCACAAUAAGUUAAAGGCUCAGGCAUUGCUGCAGCUGCCAUAUAGGUCCCAGCUGUGGCUCUGAUUCAAUCCCUGGCUUGGAAAUUUCCAUAUGCCUGAGUGCCAGCAUUUAAAAAGAAAUUCUUUCUGUGAGGUUAGAUGUGGGGUUAAAGAAUAUACCAGAAAGAUCCUGAACUAGGACUUAAAAUCCCAGCUUUGCGGAGUUCCCUUCGUGGCGCAGUAGUUAACGAAUCUGACUAGGAACCAUGAGGUUGCAGGUUCAGUCCCUGCCCUUGCUCAGUGGGUUAAUGAUCCAGCGUUGCCGUGACCUGUGGUGUAGGUUGCAGACGCGGCUCGGAUCCCACAUUGCUGUGGCUCUGGUGUAGGCCAGUGGCUACAGCUCCGAUUUGACCCCUAGUCUGGGAAUCUCCAUAUGCCGCAGGAGCGGCUCAAGAAAUAGCAAAAAGACAAAAAAAAAAAAAAAAAAAAA
rnacentral:lncRNA from 1 species